UGCGUAGGUGGCAGUGCAAGUCAGAUGUGAAAGGCCGGGGCUCAACCCCGGAGCUGCAUUUGAAACUGCUCGGCUAGAGUACAGGAGAGGCAGGCGGAAUUCCUAGUGUAGCGGUGAAAUGCGUAGAUAUUAGGAGGAACACCAGUGGCGAAGGCGGCUUGCUGGACUGUUACUGACACUGAGGACACCGAAAGGGCGUGGGGAAGCAAACA
rnacentral:rRNA from 1 species